UAUAAAACGAUAAUAAAACAGUAGUAACUAUUAAAAGUUAUUUUAAAGAGAGCGUUUGAUGGUGAGAUAAACGUAAAUAACCAGUAGUGAAUUCAGUUUUUAGUAGUGCUAAUAACACUCGUUGCCUUGCGUUAAAGGGAAUUAAGUGCUAUAACAAUUGUUGUAGAACUAAGGUGGUACCGCGAUUUAUUCGUCCUUAGA
rfam:complete chromosome Acholeplasma palmae.